rnacentral:rRNA from 1 species
AUGCAGCAACGCCGCGUGAGGGAUGACGGCCUUCGGGUUGUAAACCUCUUUUAGCAGGGAAGAAGCGAAAGUGACGGUACCUGCAGAAAAAGCGCCGGCUAACUACGUGCCAGCAGCCGCGGUAAUACGUAGGGCGCAAGCGUUAUCCGGAAUUAUUGGGCGUAAAGAGCUCGUAGGCGGUUUGUCGCGUCUGCUGUGAAAUCCCGAGGCUCAACUUCGGGUCUGCAGUGGGUACGGGCAGACUAGAGUGCGGUAGGGGAGAUUGGAAUUCCUGGUGUAGCGGUGGAAUGCGCAGAUAUCAGGAGGAACACCGAUGGCGAAGGCGGAUCUCUGGGC